GAUGAACGCUGGCGGCGUGCCUAAUACAUGCAAGUCGAGCGAACGGACGAGAAGCUUGCUUCUCUGAUGUUAGCGGCGGACGGGUGAGUAACACGUGGAUAACCUACCUAUAAGACUGGGAUAACUUCGGGAAACCGGAGCUAAUACCGGAUAAUAUUUUGAACCGCAUGGUUCAACAGUGAAAGACGGUCUUGCUGUCACUUAUAGAUGGAUCCGCGCUGCAGUAGCUAGUUGGUAAGGUAACGGCGUACCAAGGCAACGAUGCAUAGCCGACCUGAGAGGGUGAUCGGCCACACUGGAACUGAGACACGGUCCAGACUCCUACGGGAGGCAGCAGUAGGGAAUCUUCCGCAAUGGGCGAAAGCCUGACGGAGCAACGCCGCGUGAGUGAUGAAGGUCUUCGGAUCGUAAAACUCUGUUAUUAGGGAAGAACAUAUGUGUAAGUAACUGUGCACAUCUUGACGGUACCUAAUCAGAAAGCCACGGCUAACUACGUG
rnacentral:rRNA from 1 species